AUGCCUAAUACAUGCAAGUCGAACGAAGUCUUCGGACUUAGUGGCGCACGGGUGAGUAACAUGUGGGAAUCUACCUAAAGGUUCAGAAUAACUACGGGAAACUGUAGCUAAUACUGGAUGUGUCUGCAAAGAGAAAGAUUUAUCGCCUUUAGAUGAGCCCGCACUAGAUUAGUUUGUUGGUGAGGUAACUGCUCCACCAAGACUACGAUCUAUAGCUGAUUUGAGAGGAUGAUCAGCCACACUGGGACUGAGACACGGCCCAGACUCCUACGGGAGGCAGCAGUAGGGAAUAUUGGACAAUGGGGGCAACCCUGAUCCAGCAAUGCCGCGUGAGUGAAGAAGGCCUUCGGGUUGUAAAACUCUUUCAUCAAUGAUGAUAAUGACAUUAGUUGAAGAAGAAGCUCCGGCUAACUCCGUGCCAGCAGCCGCGGUAAUACGGAGGGGGCUAGCGUUGUUCGGAAUUACUGGGCGUAAAGCGUAUGUAGGCUGAUCAAAAAGUUAGAUGUGAAAUCCCUGGGCUCAACCCAGGAACUGCAUUUAAAACUGGUGAUCUAGAAUUUGGUAGGGGUUAGUAGAAUUUCCAGUGUAGAGGUGAAAUUCGUAGAUAUUGGAAAGAAUACCAGUGGCGAAGGCGACUAACUGGGCCAUUUUUGACGCUGAGAUACGAAAGCGUGGGUAGCAAACAGGAUUAGAUACCCUGGUAGUCCACGCAGUAAACGAUGAGUGCUAGUCGCUGGGUCAAUAGAUUCAGUGUCGUAGCUAACGCAUUAAGCACUCCGCCUGGGAAGUAC
rnacentral:rRNA from 1 species